rnacentral:rRNA from 1 species
CAGCACCUCAAGUGGUCAGGAUGAUUAUUGGGCCUAAAGCAUCCGUAGCCGGCGCUGUAAGUUUUCGGUUAAAUCUGUACGCUCAACGUACAGGCUGCCGGGAAUACUGCAGCGCUAGGGAGUGGGAGAGGUAGACGGUACUCGGUAGGAAGGGGUAAAAUCCUUUGAUCUAUUGAUGACCACCUGUGGCGAAGGCGGUCUACCAGAACACGACCGACGGUGAGGGAUGAAAGCUGGGGGAGCAAACCGGAUUAGAUACCCGCGUAGUCC